UCGAUGAAGAACGUAGCAAAAUGCGAUACUUGGUGUGAAUUGCAGAAUCCCGUGAACCAUCGAGUUUUUGAACGCAAGUUGCGCCCGAAGCCAUCCGGCAGAGGGCACGUCUGCCUGGGCGUCACGC
rnacentral:rRNA from 1 species